UCACCAUGGUUAAGGCCCUACUGAGCAGGCGAUUCGGCUUUCUGUGUCGGUGGCCUUCAGUGCCAGUGAUGUCACGACCCCGUAGGCCUCGGCUGCUGCGAGACCCGCGCGACAGAACAGCAAGCCUCCUGUCCUGAGUGUGGUGGGCUGAGGAAGCCUUGGCUCCUGCAUUUGAGGACGGUGGGCAGAUGUCCGGCGGCUCCGUGUGGGCCGCGGCGCUGGGCUUUCCGAGAAGGCCCUUUGCCCGGCUUGUUCUAUGAAACUGGAGAGUUAAGAGAGAUGAAGAAGCCGAGCCAAGCCUGUCUGCUCCAGAUCUUCAGGGAUAGGAAUCCUGCUGAGCUGGAGCAAAGGCUGUGUGAAGGGGACGAGGCGAGGUGGGGCAACGUGGAAUUUGAUUUUUAGACAGAUCUUUGAAUUCAGUGCUGUGUGUUAAGUCAGAAAUAGACUUCUUGCUGUGCGCCUUGAGUGCUGAGGUUAGGUUUCAUGCAGCCAAGCCCUGACUUCCACGGAGAAUGUUUGCGGUGGCCAUGUCUUGAGUAACACUCUUGACAGCUCGGCCUGUGUCAUUAAUAGGACAUUUCAGUUUAAUUUGGCAUUAAGUUGCAUGUUGUUACAUAAAUACUGGUGGGGUUAGAGAAACCACUAACAAUUACUGUGUUAGCACAAUGUGAGGUUUUUGUUUUGUUUUUUAUUUUUUUUUUUAAACAGGUCUCUCUAUGUAGCCCUGACUGUCGCAGAAUUCAUUACUUUGACUAGGCUGGCAUCAAACUCACAGAGAUCCAACCUAAUUCCACCUUCUGAGUGCUGGGACUAGCGCCACCACACCUGUCCACAAUUGUGAUUGCAGGUGCCCUUGGAGGCUGUAAGAGGGCGCCAGCUCAUGAGGCUGUUGAGAACUGAACUCAGGUUCUCUGGAAAAGCAACCAGUGAUCUUAACGGCUGAGCAGCUUGAUAUGGUAUGUUAAAAUACAGUAAACAUAAAUUUGAAUCUUGUUUAACUUAACAAAGAAGUUAAAAUAGUAAUGAAUUCCAGACUGCAACUUGUUUUGUUACUACAAGAACUAAGCAAAAAAUAAAAUUUAUAUUUUACAAAACA